GUCUAUUCUGCUCCCAGUGCCAAUGUUCCCUGCAGAACUCUUGUUACUUCAGAGAAAACAAACUCUUCUGCCGGAUGGAUUACGAAAGGAUAUUUGGUGUAAAAUGUGACCGGUGUGGAAUAGUGCUCUCCCCUCAUCAUAUUAUUAUUCUAGGAUAUUUGGUGUAAAAUGUGACCGGUGUGGAAUAGUGCUCUCCCCUCAUCAUAUUAUUAUUCUAGGAUAUUUGGUGUAAAAUGUGACCGGUGUGGAAUAGUGCUCUCCCCUCAUGAUAUUA